rnacentral:rRNA from 1 species
AUUGAACGCUGGCGGCAGGCCUAACACAUGCAAGUCGAACGGUAACAGGAAGAAGCUUGCUUCUUUGCUGACGAGUGGCGGACGGGUGAGUAAUGUCUGGGAAACUGCCUGAUGGAGGGGGAUAACUACUGGAAACGGUAGCUAAUACCGCAUAACGUCGCAAGACCAAAGAGGGGGACCUUCGGGCCUCUUGCCAUCGGAUGUGCCCAGAUGGGAUUAGCUAGUAGGUGGGGUAACGGCUCACCUAGGCGACGAUCCCUAGCUGGUCUGAGAGGAUGACCAGCCACACUGGAACGGAGACACGGUCCAGACUCCUACGGGAGGCAGCAGUGGGGAAUAUUGCACAAUGGGCGCAAGCCUGAUGCAGCCAUGCCGCGUGUAUGAAGAAGGCCUUCGGGUUGUAAAGUACUUUCAGCGGGGAGGAAGGGAGUAAAGUUAAUACCUUUGCUCAUUGACGUUACCCGCAGAAGAAGCACCGGCUAACUCCGUG